rnacentral:rRNA from 1 species
ACAUCCUACGGGACGCAGCAGUGAGGAAUAUUGGUCAAUGGCCGAGAGGCUGAACCAGCCAAGUCGCGUGAGGGAUGACGGCCCUACGGGUUGUAAACCUCUUUUGUCGGGGAACAAAGGCGCCCACGGGUGGGCGGAUGAGUGUACCCGAAGAAAAAGCAUCGGCUAACUCCGUGCCAGCAGCCGCGGUAAUACGGAGGAUGCGAGCGUUAUCCGGAUUUAUUGGGUUUAAAGGGUGCGUAGGCGGUCUGUUAAGUCAGCGGUAAAAUUGCGGGGCUCAACCCCGUCGAGCCGUUGAAACUGGC